AUUGAACGCUGGCGGCAGGCUUAACACAUGCAAGUCGAGCGGAGUGAUGGUGCUUGCACUAUCACUUAGCGGCGGACGGGUGAGUAAUGCUUAGGAAUCUGCCUAUUAGUGGGGGACAACAUCUCGAAAGGGAUGCUAAUACCGCAUACGUCCUACGGGAGAAAGCAGGGGAUCACCUGUGACCUUGCGCUAAUAGAUGAGCCUAAGUCGGAAUAGCUAGUUGGUGGGGUAAAGGCCUACCAAGGCGACGAUCUGUAGCGGGUCUGAGAGGAUGAUCCGCCACACUGGGUCUGAGACACGGCCCAGACUCCUACGGGAGGCAGCAGUGGGGAAUAUUGGACAAUGGGGGGAACCCUGAUCCAGCCAUGCCGCGUGUGUGAAGAAGGCCUUAUGGUUGUAAAGCACUUUAAGCGAGGAGGAGGCUCUUUUGGUUAAUACCCAAGAUGAGUGGACGUUACUCGCAGAAUAAGCACCGGCUAACUCUGUGCCAGCCGCCGCAGUAA
rnacentral:rRNA from 1 species